CAGCCGCCACGGGAAUACGGAGGGUGCAAGCGUUAAUCGGAAUUACUGGGCGUAAAGCGCACGCAGGCGGUCUGUCAAGUCAGAUGUGAAAUCCCCGGGCUUAACCUGGGAACUGCAUUUGAAACUGGCAGGCUAGAGUCUUGUAGAGGGGGGUAGAAUUCCAGGUGUAGCGGUGAAAUGCGUAGAGAUCUGGAGGAAUACCGGUGGCGAAGGCGGCCCCCUGGACAAAGACUGACGCUCAGGUGCGAAAGCGUGGGGAGCAAACAGGAUUAGAUACCCGCGUAGUCCCUGUCUCUUAUAA
rnacentral:rRNA from 1 species